UGCCAGCCGCCGCGGUAAUGCGGAGGGGGCGAGCGUUAUUCGGAAUUACCGGGCGUAAAGGGUACGUAGGCGGACAGCUAAGUCGGAUGUGAAAGCCCCGGGCUCAACCUGGGAACUGCAUACGAUACUGGCUGACUAGAAUCUGUCAGAGGUUGGUGGAAUUUCCGGUGUAGCGGUGAAAUGCGUAGAGAUCGGAAGGAACACCAGUGGCGAAGGCGACCAACUGGGAUAAGAUUGACGCUGAAGUACGAAAGCGUGGGGAGCAAACAGGAUUAGAUA
rnacentral:rRNA from 1 species